AUUGAACGCUGGCGGCAGGCCUAACACAUGCAAGUUCGAGCGCGAAAGCACUUCGGUGUGAGUAGAGCGGCGGACGGGUGAGUAACGCGUAGGAAUCUACCUAGUAGUGGGGGACAACUCGGGGAAACUCGAGCUAAUACCGCAUAAGCCCUACGGGGGAAAGCGGGGGACCUUCGGGCCUCGUGCUAUUAGAUGAGCCUGCGUUGGAUUAGCUAGUUGGUGGGGUAAAGGCCUACCAAGGCGACGAUCCAUAGCUGGUCUGAGAGGAUGAUCAGCCACACCGGGACUGAGACACGGCCCGGACUCCUACGGGAGGCAGCAGUGGGGAAUAUUGCGCAAUGGGCGAAAGCCUGACGCAGCCAUGCCGCGUGUGUGAAGAAGGCCUUCGGGUUGUAAAGCACUUUCAAUUGGGAGGAAAGGUUCACGGUUAAUAACCGUGAGCUGUGACGUUACCUUUAGAAGAAGCACCGGCUAACUCCGUGCCAGCAGCCGCGGUAAUACGGAGGGUGCGAGCGUUAAUCGGAAUUACUGGGCGUAAAGCGCGCGUAGGUGGUCUGUUAAGUCGGAUGUGAAAGCCCCGGGCUCAACCUGGGAACUGCAUUCGAUACUGGCAGACUAGAGUGCGAGAGAGGGAGGUAGAAUUCCAUGUGUAGCGGUGAAAUGCGUAGAUAUGUGGAGGAAUACCAGUGGCGAAGGCGGCCUCCUGGCUCGACACUGACACUGA
rnacentral:rRNA from 1 species